GAUGAAGAACGCAGCGAAAUGCGAUACGUAAUGUGAAUUGCAGAAUUCAGUGAAUCAUCGAGUCUUUGAACGCACAUUGCGCCCCCUGGUAUUCCGGGGGGCAUGCCUGUCCGAGCGUCAUUGCUGCCCUCAAGCACGGCUUGUGUGUUGGGCCUCCGUCCUCCUCCCGGGGGACGGCCCGAAAGGCAGCGGCGGCACCGCGUCCGGUCCUCGAGCGUAUGGGGCUUCGUCACCCGCUCUUGUAGGCCCGGCCGGCGCUUGCCGACACAUCAAUCUUUUUUCCAGGUUGACCUCGGAUCAGGUAGGGAUACCCGCUGAACUUAAGCAUAUCAAUAAGCGGAGGA
rnacentral:misc_RNA from 1 species